rnacentral:rRNA from 1 species
CGCUGGCGGCGUGCCUAAUACAUGCAAGUCGAACGGUCUUUCUAUGGAAGCUUGCUUCCACUGAGAAGAUAGUGGCGAACGGGUGAGUAACACGUGGGUAACCUGCCCAUAAGAGGGGGAUAACAUCCGGAAACGGGUGCUAAUACCGCAUAGUUUUCUUGAUUGCAUGAUUGAGAAGGAAAGACGGCCUUUGUGCUGUCGCUUAUGGAUGGACCCGCGGCGUAUUAGUUAGUUGGUGAGGUAACGGCUCACCAAGACGAUGAUACGUAGCCGACCUGAGAGGGUGAUCGGCCACAUUGGGACUGAGACACGGCCCAAACUCCUACGGGAGGCAGCAGUAGGGAAUCUUCCGCAAUGGACGAAAGUCUGACGGAGCAACGCCGCGUGAGUGAAGAAAAGGUUUUCGGAUCGUAAAACUCUGUUGUCAGAGAAGAACAAGUUGGAGAGUAACUGCUCCAGCCUUGACGGUAUCUGACCAGAAAGCCACGGCUAACUACGUGCCAGCAGCCGC